rnacentral:rRNA from 1 species
UAGGGAAUCUUCGGCAAUGGGGGCAACCCUGACCGAGCAACGCCGCGUGAGUGAAGAAGGUUUUCGGAUCGUAAAGCUCUGUUGUAAGUCAAGAACGAGUGUGAGAGUGGAAAGUUCACACUGUGACGGUAGCUUACCAGAAAGGGACGGCUAACUACGUGCCAGCAGCCGCGGUAAUACGUAGGUCCCGAGCGUUGUCCGGAUUUAUUGGGCGUAAAGCGAGCGCAGGCGGUUUGAUAAGUCUGAAGUUAAAGGCUGUGGCUCAACCAUAGUUCGCUUUGGAAACUGUCAAACUUGAGUGCAGAAGGGGAGAGUGGAAUUCCAUGUGUAGCGGUGAAAUGCGUAGAUAUAUGGAGGAACACCGGUGGCGAAAGCGGCUCUCUGGUCUGUAACUGACGCUGAGGCUCGAAAGCGUGGGGAGCGAACAGGAUUAGAUACCCUGGUAGUCCACGCCGUAACGAUGAGUGCUAGGUGUUGAAUCCUUUCCGGGAUUCAGUGCCGCAGCUAACGCAUUAAGCACUCCGCCUGGGGAGUACGACCGCAAGGUU